rnacentral:rRNA from 1 species
CAGUAGCCACGGUAAUACAGAGGGUGCGAGCGUUAAUCGGAUUUACUGGGCGUAAAGCGUGCGUAGGCGGCCUCUUAAGUCGGAUGUGAAAUCCCUGAGCUUAACUUAGGAAUUGCAUUCGAUACUGGGAAGCUAGAGUAUGGGAGAGGAUGGUAGAAUUCCAGGUGUAGCGGUGAAAUGCGUAGAGAUCUGGAGGAAUACCGAUGGCGAAUGCAGCCAUCUGGCCUAAUACUGACGCUGAGGUACGAAAGCAUGGGGAGCAAACAGGAUUAGAUACCCGGGUAGUCCCUGUCUCUUAUAC